rnacentral:rRNA from 1 species
CAACCUGCCGCUUACUCGGGGAUAGCCUUUCGAAAGAAAGAUUAAUACCCGAUGGUAUAAAGAGUUCNCAUGUUCUCUUUAUUAAGGAAUUUCGGUAAGCGAUGGGGAUGCGUUCCAUUAGAUAGUUGGCGGGGUAACGGCCCACCAAGUCUACGAUGGAUAGGGGUUCUGAGAGGAAGGUCCCCCACAUUGGAACUGAGACACGGUCCAAACUCCUACGGGAGGCAGCAGUGAGGAAUAUUGGUCAAUGGACGAGAGUCUGAACCAGCCAAGUAGCGUGAAGGAUGACUGCCCUAUGGGUUGUAAACUUCUUUUAUAAGGGAAUAAAGUGAGGGACGUGUCCCUUUUUGUAUGUACCUUAUGAAUAAGGAUCGGCUAACUCCGUGCCAGCAGCCGCGGUAAUACGGAGGAUCCAAGCGUUAUCCGGAUUUAUUGGGUUUAAAGGGAGCGUAGGUUGACAUAUAAGUCAGCUGUGAAAGUUUACGGCUCAACCGUGAAAUUGCAGUUGAUACUGUAUGUCUUGAGUGUACAAGAGGUGGGCGGAAUUCGUGGUGUAGCGGUGAAAUGCUUAGAUAUCACGAAGAACUCCGAUUG